rnacentral:misc_RNA from 1 species
AAAGUGCGAUAAGCAAUGCGAAUUGCAGAAUUCCGCGAAUCAUCAGAUCCUUGAACGCAACUGGCGCUAGGGGGCUCUCCCUCUAGCAUGUCUGUUUCAGUGUCUAAAAACUUCACAUCUAACUUAAUGUGGUUGAUGAUCUCAUGUUUUAUAAAUAUGAGCUAAUCUUCCAUUAAAGAUGUAUGUGUGGGUCUUUGAACCCCUCAUUGAAUUGGUCAUCUAUUUCAGAUGAUUUCAAUAGGGAUUGUCUCAAUUACCUAAAUACACAUAGAAACUUUUCAAACAUCAAACUCUGCAUCUGAAAUCAGGCAAGAACACCCGCUGAGUUUAA